AGUGGGAUCGCUGAGUCAAAUGGUGGUUCCAUUCCAAGUUUUCUGAGGAAUCUCCAGACUGCUUUCCAAAGUAGUUGCACCAAUUUGUAAUCCCACCAACAAU
rnacentral:pre_miRNA from 1 species